GACGAACGCUGGCGGCGUGCUUAACACAUGCAAGUCGAACGGAAAGGCCCUGCUUUUGUGGGGUGCUCGAGUGGCGAACGGGUGAGUAACACGUGAGUAGCCUGCCCUUGACUUUGGGAUAACUUCAGGAAACUGGGGCUAAUACCGGAUAGGAGCUCCUGCUGCAUGGUGGGGGUUGGAAAGUUUCGGCGGUUGGGGAUGGACUCGCGGCUUAUCAGCUUGUUGGUGGGGUAGUGGCUUACCAAGGCUUUGACGGGUAGCCGGCCUGAGAGGGUGACCGGCCACAUUGGGACUGAGAUACGGCCCAGACUCCUACGGGAGGCAGCAGUGGGGAAUAUCGCACAAUGGGCGGAAGCCUGAUGCAGCAACGCCGCGUGCGGGAUGACGGCCUUCGGGUUGUAAACCGCUUUCGCCUGUGACGAAGCGUGAGUGACGGUAAUGGGUAAAGAAGCACCGGCUAACUACGUG
rnacentral:rRNA from 1 species